GACGAACGCUGGCGGCGUGCUUAACACAUGCAAGUCGAACGGAAAGGCCCUGCUUUUGUGGGGUGCUCGAGUGGCGAACGGGUGAGUAACACGUGAGUAACCUGCCCUUGACUUUGGGAUAACUUCAGGAAACUGGGGCUAAUACCGGAUAGGAGCUCCUGCUGCAUGGUGGGGGUUGGAAAGUUUCGGCGGUUUGGGAUGGACUCGCAGGUUAUGAGCUGGUUGGUGAGGUAGUGGCUUACAAAGGCUUUGACGGGUAGCCGGCCUGGGAGGGUGGCCGGGCACAUUGGGACUACGAUACGCACCAGUAUCCAACGGGAGGCAGUAGUGGAGAAUAUUGCACAAUGGGCGGAAGCGUGAUGCAGAAACGCCGCGUGCGGGAUGCCGGCCUUCGGGUUAUAAACAGCUUUCGCCUGUGACGAAGCGUGAGUGACGGUAAUGGGUAAAGAAGCAACGGCUAACUACGUG
rnacentral:rRNA from 1 species